AUGGAAAAAGCAAGAAAGUUCCAGAAAAACAUCUAUUUCUGCUUUAUUCACUGUGCCAAAGCCUUUGACUGCGUGGAUCACAAGAAACUGUGGAAAAUUCUGAAAGAGAUGGGAAUACCAGACCACCUCACCUGCCUCCUGAGAAACCUGUAUGCAGGUCAGGAAGCAACAGUUAGAACUGGACAUGGAACAACAAACUGCUUCCAAAUAGGAAAAGGAGUGCUUCAAGGCUGUAUAUUGUCACCCUGCUUAUUUAACUUCUAUGCAGAGUACAUCAUGAGAAACGCUGGGCUGGAAGAAACACAAGCUGGAAUCAAGAUUGCCAGGAGAAAUAUUAAUAACCUCAGAUAUGCAGAUGACACCACCCUUAUGGCAGAAAGUAAAGAGGAGCUAAAAAGCCUCUUGAUGAAAGUGAAAGAGGAGAGCAAAAAAGUUGGCUUCAAGCUCAACAUUCAGAAAACGAAGAUCAUGGCAUCUGGUCCCAUCACUUCAUGGGAAAUAGAUGGGGAAACAGUAGAAACAGUGUCAGACUUUAUUUUUUUGGGCUCCAAAAUCACUGCAGAUGGUGACUGCAGCCAUGAAAUUAAAAGAUGCUUACUCCUUGGAAGAAAAAUGAUGACCAACCUAGACAGUGUAUUCAAAAGCAGAGACAUUACUUUGCCGACUAAAGUCCGUCUAGUCAAGGCUAUGGUUUUUCCUGUGGUCAUGUAUGGAUGUGAGAGUUGGACUGUGAAGAAGGCUGAGCACCAAAGAAUUGAUGCUUUUGAACUGUGGUGUUGGAGAAGACUCUUGAGGGUCCCUUGGACUGCAAGGAGAUCCAACCAGUCCAUUCUGAAGGAGAUCAACCCUGGGAUUUCUUUGGAAGGAAUGAUGCUAAAGCUGAAGCUCCAGUACUUUGGCCACCUCAUGCGAAGAGUUGACUCAUUGGAAAAGACUCUGAUGCUGGGAGGGAUUGGGGGCAGGAGGAGAAGGGGACAACCGAGGAUGGGAUGGCUGGAUGGCAUCACGAACUCAAUGGACAUGAAUCUGAGUGAACUCCAGGAGAUGGUGAUGGACAGGGAGGCCUGGCCUGGUGCGAUUCGUGGGGUCACAAAGAGUCGGACAUGA
rnacentral:lncRNA from 1 species